rnacentral:rRNA from 1 species
CCUACGGGGGGCAGCAGUGAGGAAUAUUGGUCAAUGGACGAGAGUCUGAACCAGCCAAGUAGCGUGAAGGAUGACUGCCCUAUGGGUUGUAAACUUCUUUUAUAUGGGAAUAAAAUGUUCCACGUGUGGGAUUUUGUAUGUACCAUAUGAAUAAGGAUCGGCUAACUCCGUGCCAGCAGCCGCGGUAAUACGGAGGAUCCGAGCGUUAUCCGGAUUUAUUGGGUUUAAAGGGAGCGUAGGUGGAUUGUUAAGUCAGUUGUGAAAGUUUGCGGCUCAACCGUAAAAUUGCAGUUGAAACUGGCAGUCUUGAGGACAGUAGAGGUGGGCGGAAUUCGUGGUGUAGCGGUGAAAUGCUUAGAUAUCACGAAGAACUCCGAUUGCGAAGGCAGUUCACUGAACUGCAACUGACACUGAGGCUCGAAAGUGUGGGUAUCAAACAGGAUUAGAUACCCUUGUAGUC